GAUGAACGCUGGCGGCGUGCCUAAUACAUGCAAGUCGAGCGAACAGACGAGGAGCUUGCUCCUCUGACGUUAGCGGCGGACGGGUGAGUAACACGUGGAUAACCUACCUAUAAGACUGGGAUAACUUCGGGAAACCGGAGCUAAUACAGGAUAAUAUAUUGAACCGCAUGGUUCAAUAGUGAAAGAUGGUUUUGCUGUCACUUAUAGAUGUAUCCGCGCCGCAUUAGCUAGUUGGUAAGGUAACGGCUUACCAAGGCAACGAUGCGUAGCCGACCUGAGAGGGUGAUCGGCCACACUGGAACUGAGACACGGUCCAGACUCCUACGGGAGGCAGCAGUAGGGAAUCUUCCGCAAUGGGCGAAAGCCUGACGGAGCAACGCCGCGUGAGUGAUGAAGGUCUUCGGAUCGUAAAACUCUGUUAUUAGGGAAGAACAAAUGUGUAAGUAACUAUGCACGUCUUGACGGUACCUAAUCAGAAAGCCACGGCUAACUACGUG
rnacentral:rRNA from 1 species